GUCUCAGUGGCAUAGCGGUCAGUGCACAGCCCGGAUAUUUUGAGACGCGGUUUCGAAUCCCGCCUGAGAUG
rnacentral:tRNA from 1 species